GAUGAACGCUGGCGGCGUGCCUAAUACAUGCAAGUCGAACGAAUGGCGGACGGGUGAGUAAUGUCUGGGAAACUGCCCGAUGGAGGGGGAUAACUACUGGAAACGGUAGCUAAUACCGCAUACCAUCGGAUGUGCCCAGAUGGGAUUAGCUAGUAGGUGGGGUAACGGUUCACCUAGGCGACGAUCCCUAGCUGGUCUGAGAGGAUGACCAGCCAAACUGGAAAUGAGACACGGGCCAGACUCCGACGUGAGGCAGCAGGUGGGAAUAUUGCACAAUGGGCGCAAGCCUGAUGCAGCCAUGCCGCGUGUAUGAAGAAGGCCUUCGGGUUGUAAAGUACUUUCAGCGGGGAGGCGUUACCCGCAGAAGAAGCACCGGCUAACUCCGUGCCAGCAGCCGCGGUAAUAC
rnacentral:rRNA from 1 species